UGCUACGCUUGCGCGGGCGCCGUCCAAAUGAGUUUAUUCAUUAUGUUUGACAUGCUUGUGAUUCAUGUUGUCCAGAGAGAGGCGAGUUUGUCGUGAAGGUGCAACCAAACAGGCACAAAACGUACUUGGCAGCAACUGAAGAUGAAAUAUAAAAAUAUACUUCAAACAGCCAAAAGAAAAAGUCUGAGGGAUGAAAAACAGGUGGGGGACCACCACUCAAAGGCUGAGUAGAUGGCCCUCAGUCAAAACAGUGGGUGACCUAUUGCUGAAGGCAUCUCUGGAGGAAGCUCAUCUGACCCAACCACCCCCCCAGGACAAGGGCCUACAUAAGCGACAAUGCUGGAAUUUACAAUGAGGAAGAGGGGAGUCCAUCCACUUCCACAGCACAACUUACCUCACUCCCUGUGAAGCAGCUGUACAAGGUGUACUUAGAGAAACAAAUUGAAAAAUGUAAUUUAGAUAUUGACCACAUAAGGCUACAGAUGCAAAAGAUAAAAAUAGAAAUACAACUGCUGGAACAUCAGUUUUUGUGGGAGAGGUGGAUGAUUUGACUUGUUUGAACAACAUAAAAAAUAACUACUGUACUGCAUUUGUAC